GGGGCCCGCACUUGAUUGAUCAUGCAUGAGGCGCCACAGCACAUCUUUUAGCGAUCCAGACCUUUGAUCGGAUGAACCCCAUCGUGGAUGAGGAAUGGCCCAAAAAAUAUCCGAGGUUGGAAGAUCCUAAUCCAGCGAUCUUGAAAAGAAAGCCAAAGAUUGUACGGCUAUGAUCUUUCUACCUCGAAAGUUUUUGGAGCAUUUUUCCAUAGUUGGUCCACCAGCUCAACGGUCUAUAUCUGAGAUAAGCAAGAUCGUAUGAAUAUUUAGUCCUUGACCACAGGAUAUUCACAUACGUAGAUGAGAUCCAGCGUUCGUUAAGGUGGGCCCUAUGUAAGAAAGUACGUAUCUCAAAAACCACAAUGAUCAAAUGACUUUUGCCCAUUGAAUCUAGACUGUUGUUCACUUGUCCUUCCUUGUCUACCUGGACGGUUAGGAUAGUCUGAUCAUUGUGACUUUGGAGCUGUGGACCCUCCGUGGUAGGGCCCACCUCAUGAUCAGCUCAGUCCACAUCUAAGUGUCCCAGGUUUGCCGUUCUUGAUCAAGGGACGCAACUAACGUGCGCCGGUAGACACUGCACGGAAACAGGAUGUAAGGCAUGGGAUUAUUUUUAUAUCUACCACUCGAGUCGUUUGCUCUUGCAAAUGGUUUGGAACGCACCUGCGCAAAUUAGCAAAUUCCACGCAAAGCAAUAAAGGGGAAGGAAGCGCACCAUGGCAAGGCGACCGGAGAUUGUCUCGAAGUCCUGGCUGUUCUUCGAGUUCUCGAUGUAGUCCGAAAGCGAAGCGAAGAAUGGUGACACGUCAGCAUCGGGCCGCGUCCUGAUCAGACCGUCGCGGCCAGACCCGUACGACCUGAGAGUACACACGCGAGGCUGGAGGAUGAUUUUGGCGCUCUCGGACGAGGAUGAAGAAGAAUCGGCUGCCUUGAGUCUUGGAAUCGCCGACUCUCUCCUCGAGAGCGGCGAUUUCUGUUGAAUCAACUCGCAGAAGAUCGCCCGCGCGGCUGUGGCAGCCAUCGGGAAGAAAGAAGGAAAGAAUUGCCGAGGUAGGACGGGAGGAAAAGGGCGAGUAAUUGGAGCUUGGGGUUUGCUUUUGUUGGCGUCCUCGCGGUUGUUGAAUUGUACACGUCUCCCGCUAAUGUGGGAGAUUAUUACGUGGCAAUGUGGAUCCCACCCGGAGGCGUGGCGCAAAUGGCCGACGCAGGUGUAGUUUUCAGGACUGGAGAAAAGGGACGCGGAUUUCCUGCCUUCGCCUGCCUGCAACAUUAGGGCCAUCGUGAUGUUUGUGAGAAAUCCACACCGUCCAUCCGUUUUAAGAGCUUAUUUUAGGGUAUGUGACCAAAGAUCAAGUGAAUCCAAAACUAAGUGUGCUGCAUAAGAGGAAACAGUGGGGUUUAGUAACCAAAACAUUCGUGUGGCCACGAAAUUUCAUAUCAAGCUAAGUUUUAUGUGUUUACACUUCCUAUAGUGGGAAUGACCUUGUAAAUAGUUUAGAUGGCAGAUGAAUAUCAACGUAAAUUCCGGGAAAGGUUUUAACGGCAGCAAA